CUUGGUCAUUUAGAGGAAGUAAAAGUCGUAACAAGGUUUCCGUAGGUGAACCUGCGGAAGGAUCAUUACCGAACUGUCAACAAGAGUUGUUGCUGGUCCCUAUAUGGGGGCAUGUGCACGCUCUGUUUACACAUCCACUCACACCUGUGCACCCUCUGUAGUUCUGUGGCCUGGGGGGCUCUGUCCUCCUGCCGUGGUUCUACGUCUUUACACACACACCGUAAUGAAGUCUUAUGGAAUGUAUGUCGCGUUUAACGCAAUGAAAUACAACUUUCAGCAACGGAUCUCUUGGCUCUCGCAUCGAUGAAGAACGCAGCGAAAUGCGAUAAGUAAUGUGAAUUGCAGAAUUCAGUGAAUCAUCGAAUCUUUGAACGCACCUUGCGCUCCUUGGUAUUCCGAGGAGCAUGCCUGUUUGAGUGUCAUUAAUUUCUCAACCUUGUCAUUUUUCAUGACAAGGCUUGGACUUGGGGGUUUUUUGCAGGCUUCAACCCAAUGAAGUUGGCUCCCCUUAAACGCAUUAGCCGGAAAACUCUGCGUCUAUUGGUGUGAUAAUUAUCUACAUCGUGGACAGGCAGUAAUGGGUUUUCUGCUUCAAACCGUCCUUAGGGACAACAAUGACCAUCUGACCUCAAAUCAGGUAGGACUACCCGCUGAACUUAAGCAUAUCAAUAAGCGGAGGA
rnacentral:rRNA from 1 species